GAUGGCCGCGAAAUCCAGAGGUGGCCCGGUUAUCAUGAUGCCUGGGUCCCCCCAUGAGAACCCCAUGAGGCUCUGAGGUCCUUUCCAGACCUCAGAGCACCUCGCUGUGCUCCAGGUGGUUCUGGAGACUUCCUGCAGAGCCCCGGCAUGUACAGAGAGAUGGGACAUCCUGAGCCCAGUUCAGAGUUGGUGAAACUGAGGUCUGAACAGGGACUACGAGACCCUUGACCUGGAGAACACGUCCAUCCAAUUUUCCGAUGUUUGUGAGUACUUGCGGGCGUGGGGCUGGGUGCUGGAGAUACAGUGUCUGGAGAGUGUGCUGCUUUUAGGUAUCUUUUAUCUGAGUCCAGGGGUGGAGACAAAUGUGUAAACUCUCCCAAGUAAAAGCAAACUGGGAACCGGGAGAAAGGCUGAGAAACGGAGGAAAUGGGAGCGCGGAGGGCUGAUAUAAGAAGAAUGCUUGAUCUCCUCUGGGGAGGCCUUUGUGCAAGGCUUCCCUGUGUGUCCUCCGAUUAAGGCUCCUGAUAAACAGGCUGAAAUCUGAUCAUGGGGAGGAGGCAGAGAACUUUCCAGACGGAGGGAGCACCACGUGCAAAAGCUGGUAUGGUGGACCAAGCAAGGAGGGAGGCAGAGCGAGACUGCACACACAGAGGAGAAUGUGAUGUGACCACAAAGGCAGAAAUUGGAGUGAUGCAGCCACGAGCCAAGGGAAUCAGUAGCCACCAGAAGCUGGAAGAAGCCAGACCCUCCUGUAGAGCCUCUGGACACACCGUGGACCUGCUGACAUCCCGAUUUUGGUGCAGUGAUGCUAAUUUUGGGUUCCUGGCUUCCAGAACUGGAAAACAAUAAAGUUUGGUUUUCCUAAGCCACCAA